rnacentral:SRP_RNA from 1 species
GCCGGGUGUGGUGGCCCACGCCUGUAAUCCCAGCUACUUGGGAGGCUGAGUCAAGAGAAUCACUUGAACCCAGGAGGCGGAGGCUGCAGUGAGCCAAGAUCGUGCCACUGCACUCCAGCCUGGGUAACAGAGUGACUCUGUCUCAA